rnacentral:rRNA from 1 species
GACGAACGCUGGCGGCGUGCUUAACACAUGCAAGUCGAACGAUGAAGCCCAGCUUGCUGGGUGGAUUAGUGGCGAACGGGUGAGUAACACGUGGGUGAUCUGCCCUGCACUUCGGGAUAAGCCUGGGAAACUGGGUCUAAUACCGGAUAGGACCUUCUGCCGCAUGGUGGGGGGUGGAAAGGUUUUCCGGUGCAGGAUGGGCCCGCGGCCUAUCAGCUUGUUGGUGGGGUAACGGCCCACCAAGGCGACGACGGGUAGCCGGCCUGAGAGGGCGACCGGCCACACUGGGACUGAGACACGGCCCAGACUCCUACGGGAGGCAGCAGUGGGGAAUAUUGCACAAUGGGCGCAAGCCUGAUGCAGCGACGCCGCGUGAGGGAUGACGGCCUUCGGGUUGUAAACCUCUUUCAGUACCGACGAAGCGCAAGUGACGGUAGGUACAGAAGAAGCACCGGCCAACUACGUGCCAGCCGCCGCGGUAA